rnacentral:rRNA from 1 species
UACGUAGGUGGCAAGCGUUGUCCGGAAUUAUUGGGCGUAAAGCGCGCGCAGGUGGUUUCUUAAGUCUGAUGUGAAAGCCCACGGCUCAACCGUGGAGGGUCAUUGGAAACUGGGGAACUUGAGUGCAGGAGAGAAGAGUGGAAUUCCACGUGUAGCGGUGAAAUGCGUAGAGAUGUGGAGGAACACCAGUGGCGAAGGCGGCUCACUGGUCCGGUACUGACGCUGAGGUGCGAAAGCGUGGGGAGCAAACAGG